AGGGGGGCUUAAUUUUGGAGAAGGAGAGGGACUGUAUGUAGAAGUCCGAAGCUUUCCCUUUGGGAGGAAGAAGCCUUCCUUUUAUGGGAGUGGUAGGGUUACCUGUGAUGUGACUGGGCGAAUUAAAGGGUUACCGUCACGAUUGAACGUGGGCGUAUGAAGUAAUGAGUUGCCGUGGAUGGCCCGUUCUCAUCAUGGGAGGAGAUGGCGCGCAGCCAGAGCUUGCUUGAGGCACGUAGUGCAGUCCAUUCUUGGGAAUGGUGAGGCGUUGAUAGUCGUAGCAGGGUAUGAUCCUUGGUUGAUAUGUCGUAGCGUGGCCGGCAAGUAAAGCAUGGUGCAGUGAGGCUGCUGCAGGGCAUGGCUGUAGCAUGUGGACGACAAGGUCGGCCUUCUGAGGUCAGCUCGGCCUUAUGUGCUUGGCCUUCUGUGCUCGGCAGCCUUCUGAGCUCAGCCUACAUGAGCCCGGCUCGGACUGCAUGAGCUCGGUCUGCACG
rnacentral:lncRNA from 1 species